rnacentral:rRNA from 1 species
AUUGAACGCUGGCGGCAGGCCUAACACAUGCAAGUCGAACGAGUGGCGGACGGGUGAGUAAUGUCUGGGAAACUGCCUGAUUGAGGGGGAUAACUACUGGAAACGGUAGCUAAUACCGCAUACCAUCAGAUGCGCCCAGAUGGGAUUAGCUAGUUGGUGGGGUAACGGCUCACCAAGGCGACGAUCCCUAGCUGGGCUGAGAGGCUGACCAUCCACACUGGAACUGAGACACGGUCCAGACUCAUACGGGAGUCAGCAGUGGGUAAUAUUGCACAAUGGGCGCAAGCCUGAUGCAGCCAUGCCGCGUGUAUGAGGAAGGCAUUCGGGUUGUAAAGUACUUUAUGCGGGGAGGCGUUACCCGCAGAAGAAGCACCGGCUAACUCCGUGCCAGCCGCCGCGGUAAUAC